rnacentral:rRNA from 1 species
AACGGGGGGAGAGCAACAGGGAUUGCCCCAGUAACGGCGAGUGAAGCGGCAACAGCUCAAAUUUGAAAUCUGGCCUCCGGGUCCGAGUUGUAAUUUGUAGAGGAUGCUUUUGGCGAGGUGCCUUCCGAGUUCCCUGGAACGGGACGCCAUAGAGGGUGAGAGCCCCGUCUGGUCGGACACCGAGCCUCUGUAAAGCUCCUUCGACGAGUCGAGUAGUUUGGGAAUGCUGCUCAAAAUGGGAGGUAUAUGUCUUCUAAAGCUAAAUAUUGGCCAGAGACCGAUAGCGCACAAGUAGAGUGAUCGAAAGAUGAAAAGCACUUUGAAAAGAGGGUUAAAAAGUACGUGAAAUUGUUGAAAGGGAAGCGCCUAUGACCAGACUUGGGCCCGGUGAAUCAUCCAGCGUUCUCGCUGGUGCACUUUGCCGGGCACAGGCCAGCAUCAGUUUGGCGCGGGGGAAAAAGGUUUUGGGAAUGUGGCUCCCUCGGGAGUGUUAUAGCCCAUUGCGUAAUACCCUGCGCCGGACUGAGGUACGCGCAUCGCAAGGAUGCUGGCGUAAUGGUCAUCAGCGACCCGUCUUGAAACACGGACCAAGGAGUCGUCUUCGUAUGCGAGUGUUCGGGUGUCAAACCCCUACGCGUAAUGAAAGUGAACGCAGGUGAGAGCUUCGGCGCAUCAUCGACCGAUCCUGAUGUUCUCGGAUGGAUUUGAGUAAGAGCAUACGGGGCCGGACCCGAAAGAAGGUGAACUAUGCCUGUAUAGGGUGAAGCCAGAGGAAACUCUGGUGGAGGCUCGCAGCGGUUCUGACGUGCGAAUCGAUCGUCAAAUAUGGGCAUGGGGGCGAAAGACUAAUCGAACCUUCUAGUAGCUGGUUUCCGCCGAGC